GGAAGCAAGCGUUGAAACGCGGAUGAUUGACCCCAUCGACACGAAACACUUGUCGCAAUUAAUAGGUAACGAUCUUCUAAGGAACCUAACCGAUAGGAUGGAUUACCCAGAGGAAAAAACAGAUUAAAAAUCGAACGUUCUGAGAGCGCGUGGGCAACAAUAAGAGACAGUACAUCUGCUGAUUAAAAUCCCAUAGAAAUCAUAGGCAGAAUCAGUUCACUCCAGUUCAAUCCGUUGCACAUUCCGUGACAUUAUAUGUCCGAGUUUGUGACGUUCGGAUUCGUAUUCGUCAUAUUUAAAUUUGACGCGGCAUUGUGAGAAUUUAGUCAACAAGUUCUUUUGCAACUUCCGAACACUCUGAGUGCCAACCGUCGACCAGCUCUCCGCCGUUGUAAGCUGAAUCCGCUCCGCCAAACACCAAAUUAUUCGCACCUUCAUAAAGUUCAAGCAACAUGCGUAACCGAGUCUCUGAACAUAAGUCUCGAAGAGCCAUUAAGAACUGUCGGAAUCAUCGAAACAGGAAGGUCCGGAAGCUUGGCGCAUCGUUAUCGCUCUCCGAAAAAUUAAACAAUCUGCGAGGAGAAAAUUCUGUUUUGCCUAGCGCUCUAACUAAUUUAAGAACUUCCGACGAACCGACCGUUUCAUCUCCAUCAGUCUAAAAUCCGUCCCCCAAAUCAUUCUCUCUUUUCCCCUGUUGUCGUCCCUCCCCCUCUUACUCCCCUGGAUCUCAUGUAGAAACAGAUUUUAAACAAUCACCAGGGUCACCUUCUUCUACUUUUGAUCCCUUUGCAGAGCCUUUAGUGUGUUCUCGGGAUUCAACCCUUUCUCCUACAGAUUUUCCUCCUACACCUUCCCCCGAUUUUUUUCAUCGUAACCCCGAUUCACCUAUUCGAAGACCCCCGAAAGAUCCAUACUCCCCCGCGUUAAAGUUUUCUCAAGAAAACCCGCAUUCCUACUCAUUAUUUACUCCCGAAGAAAUAGAAAAUAUCGUAACCGAAAAUAUCGAAGCGAAUCGAAGAAUAGCCAAUGAAUUGGAAGAAAUCUUUGACUUGGUCCAAGAACUACCUGAAUAACCAAAAAUUUCCUAAUCACAAUAUACACACCCACACAUGCACAUUUAUUUAUAAUUUUCGUUAAGCACAAAUGUAACCAAUUAGAACUUAAGUUUA